CCUACGGGAGGCAGCAGUGGGGAAUAUUGCGCAAUGGGCGAAAGCCUGACGCAGCGACGCCGCGUGAGGGAUGAAGGUCUUCGGAUCGUAAACCUCUGUCAGCAGGGAAGAACGGUCACUGUGCUAAUCAGCAGUGAAUUGACGGUACCUGCAAAGGAAGCACCGGCUAACUCCGUGCCAGCAGCCGCGGUAAUACGGAGGGUGCGAGCGUUAAUCGGAAUUACUGGGAGUAAAGCGCUCGUAGGCGGUAGUUCAAGUCAAGGGUGAAAUCCCCGCGCUCAACGUGGGAACUGCCUUUGAAACUGGCGAACUUGAGUGUGUGAGAGGAUAGUGGAAUGCCAGGUGUAGGAGUGAAAGCCAUAGAUAUCUGGAGGAACCUCAGUGGCGAAGGCGACUAUCUGGCACAUUACUGACGCUGAGGAGCGAAAGCGUGGGGAGCAAACAGGAUUAGAUACCCGAGUAGUC
rnacentral:rRNA from 1 species